AACGAACGCUGGCGGCAGGCUUAACACAUGCAAGUCGAACGCCCCGCAAGGGGAGUGGCAGACGGGUGAGUAACGCGUGGGAAUCUACCCAGAACUUCGGAACAACUGAGGGAAACUUCAGCUAAUACCGGAUACGCCCUACGGGGGAAGAUUUAUCGGUUUUGGAUGAGCCCGCGUUGGAUUAGCUAGUUGGUGGGGUAAUGGCCUACCAAGGCGACGAUCCAUAGCUGGUCUGAGAGGAUGAUCAGCCACACUGGGACUGAGACACGGCCCAGACUCCUACGGGAGGCAGCAGUGGGGAAUAUUGGACAAUGGGCGAAAGCCUGAUCCAGCCAUGCCGCGUGAGUGAUGAAGGCCUUAGGGUUGUAAAGCUCUUUCAGUAGGGAAGAUAAUGACGGUACCUACAGAAGAAGCCCCGGCUAACUUCGUGCCAGCAGCCGCCGUAAAAC
rnacentral:rRNA from 1 species